GGGGGAUGAAGGGCAAUUUAUUGUCAUGAAUUUUUAAAUUUAAACAUUCACUAUUUUUUUGAGUUCCCUGCACUGAACAAACAUUUAUGGCAAUUUCUGUCAAAUGAAAAACUCGAUGCUCUGUUCUUAUCCACUGAACUGGCAUUGUGUGACUUCUGGCUCUUCCUCAAAGUCAAAAUGAUCAUGAAAGGUCAAUAUUUUGAAUCAGUUCGGGACACUGAGGCAGCCAUGGCAGCACAGCUAAAGUCACUCCCAAAAGAGCACUUCUAGAGCUGCUACAGAAAGAGGCAAAAACAAUGGGAUAAGUGUAUUCGAAGUGACGGGAUUAAUAGCAAUGUGAGUUUUACUAUAUUCAAGUUUUUAAAAACUUUAAACAUUCAACAUACUAGUGGGACACAUCACACCUGGUUGAAUAAAAAGGUGUCUUUGUUCUCUGCCUGUCUCCCUGAGCCAGGACAGCGAUCUUGUCUCAUCCUCGGCACUCCUGGCCCUUAGGACUUCAGGCUGGGAGUGAAAUUGGCCCCACUGGCUCCCUGACUCCCGGGAUUCCCAGCUACAUCUCAGCUUUCCUGGGUCUCCAGCUUUUGGAUGGUGGAUUGUCGGACUUCUUGGCCUCUGUCAUUGUGUGGCCCAAGUUCUCAUCCCGUGGCUCUACUUCUCUGGAGAACCCAGACUAAUUCACCGCAUGAACUGCAAAGCCUAGAGUGUUUUCUCUCUGGCUCUUUACAGAAAGCUCGGACUUCCGCUCUCUGCCCACAGUGAAACCAGUUAUCUCCAGCUUGGAGAAUUACAUCUGGGGAGGGAGAUGGAUGCAAGGGUAGAAGUCUGUGUACAGCAAAAGAAAACAAACACCAAAAGCAAGAUGGAGGAAUCUGGUUUGCCCCAGAGUUUCUGUUCUGUUGUUUAUCAUUGAGCUAAGUUUUUCCACAAGCGCAUGAUGACGGUUAGAAAAAUAAAGUUUUUCAGGAGGUGCCUUUCCAUAAACAGUUGGCCUCCACAAGCGGAGUCCUCACGAGCACGAGAGGACACAGUGCCAACAUUUGUUGUCCUCUCUUCUGAGAUCUAAUUUCCCUAAGAACUGAAGAUCAUCUUCAUGUGCUCACUGGGGAUGAGAAGUGGGGCUGGAGUCCAAAGACCUGGACCCCAGCCCCGGAAUGGGACGGCCCUGAGGCCCCGGGUGACCCGUUUCUCCCCUGGGCCUUUGCUCUGGCUGUGCCAAGGACUCUGCUGAGAACAGGAACUCUGAGGUCCUCCCGGCUCUGGAAGCCAGACUUGGGUUCCCUGGGGAGGGACCAUCUGACUGCCCCAUGAGACCCGGCAGUGUGACAGGGUAGUGACAAGCUGCAAACUCGAGAUUCCCCUGUUGCAACAUUGCACGUAACUCUGAAGAGCGGCCACUCUGUCACCAGCGGAGUGGGUGGGUGUGGCCGGCAUUUGGGCUUCACAGGUGAGGAUGUUCCGGACACAGACCCCUGGACUGGGCCCAGCUCAGAGCCACCACCGGGAAAUUCUGCCAGGACAGCUUUGUGCACGGGAUCGAACUCGGGUUCUUGCGCUUGAGAGGCAGGUGGCAGAACCACUGAGGUAAAUCCCCGGCCUGAACCAGAAAAUUGAAGUGGCUUGUUCGUUGCUGCAAGGGUAACGAAUGGCAGGGGAAGUGCAUGGCACUGCUGUCUAAUGGGCUGAAGUUGGCUCAUCUGUCAGAAACUGAGGCCUGAUGCCGGUGGUGGAAGCAGGCUGGGCUGUGUGCGAGUCCUGCCGUGCAAGGGACAGGGAGCUGGGGCGCUGGGCCCCCCUUGCACUUUGUGGAAGUCCGAGUGCAGGAGUUCGGGUUUUCCCGCCUGGGUCUGAGGCUC